AAAACACACAUGAAGGAACAUCACCAGUCAGUGCUGAUCAACCCGGCCCGUCAUCUGCACAGGGUUUUAGAUGAAGAGAAACAGCUGAGGCCUGUUUAACCACUGAGGAUCC